CGACCUCAAAUCAGGUAGGACUACCCGCUGAACUUAAGCAUAUCAAUAAGCGGAGGAAAAGAAACCAACAGGGAUUGCCUUAGUAGCGGCGAGUGAAGCGGCAAAAGCUCAAAUUUGAAAUCUGGCACUUUCAGUGUCCGAGUUGUAAUUUGAAGAAGGUAUCUUUGGGUCUGGCUCUUGUCUAUGUUUCUUGGAACAGAACGUCACAGAGGGUGAGAAUCCCGUGCGAUGAGAUGUCCCAGACCUAUGUAAAGUUCCUUC
rnacentral:rRNA from 1 species